rnacentral:lncRNA from 1 species
GACAACUUACACUUUCUACUCAAAAAAUCAAUCUACAAUCUCUAUUUGUUUCUUUGUGUUAUUGUGUGAUCUUUGAAAAUGGCGAAUUACCAGAACCAAUAUGGUGCAACGGCCCAAUCUACAAAUGAUUACGGGAACCCACUCACCAACUACACCGGAUCAGAGCCCCAAUCUACAAAUGAGUACGGGGCUACAGAUGAGUAUGGGAACCCAGUCACCACCUACACCAGAUCAGAGCCCCACUAUACAGAUGAGUAUGGGAACCCAGUACGCGAAAGGGGGAUGAUGGACAAGAUCAAGGAGAAGCUCCCAGGUACUCAUGACCCCUACUCAUCUCAUUCUCAGACAACCUACCCCACUGCACGUUACGGUGAAACCGGCUACACUGGAUUGGAGCAGCACCAUGGGAUGAUGAACAAGAUGCCAGGUACUGACCCCUACUCAUCUCAUUCUCAUACAACCGGCACCACUGCACCUUACGAUGGAACCGGCUACACCGGAACAGAGUACCGCCAGCACAAGGGCACGAUGGACAGGAUCAAGGAUAAGCUGACUGGGACUGGUGGACAUAGGGUGGAUGAUCCCUACUCAUCUCAUUCUCAUAAAACCGCCACCACCACACCUUACGGUGGCACCACCACCACAGCUUACGGUGACAGCACCACCACACCUUCACCUUACGGUGGCACCACCACCACACAUUCACCUUACGGUGGCACCACCACCACAGCUUACGGUGACACCACCACCACACCUUCAGCUUACGGUGGCACCACCACCACACCUUCAGCUUACGGUGGCACCGCCACCACCACCUACCCCCGUGAAAAGAAGGGCAUCAUGGACAAGAUCAAAGAGAAACUUCCUGGUGGACAUCAUUAUUAAUAAUAGGGUUAUGUAAGAGAUAGAUACGUUAGGUAUCGUUUUGUGUUCAAUGUUUUAGUAUGACGUGUAUAAUAAGCGGUG